rnacentral:misc_RNA from 1 species
UUUCCGUAGGUGAACCUGCGGAAGGAUCAUUAUUGUAUAACCGAGGUGCGAGGGCUCUCGCUGACCCGAAAGGUCGUGCACGCCCGAGUGCCCUCACACACAUCCAUCUCACCCCUAUGUGCACCACCGCGUGGGUCCCCCUUUGGCUUGUUCGGAGGGGGGCUUACGUUUUCACACAAACUUUGUAUGCAGUGUAGAAUGUAUUUUUUGUUUUUGCGAUCACGCAAUCAAUACAACUUUCAACAACGGAUCUCUUGGCUCUC